rnacentral:snoRNA from 1 species
AGAGCGAGGAUGAACGUUUCAAAGUUGUCUGGGUAUAAUAAAACCACUCAAAAACUAUUUGUGGGGUUUCAAUAUGGGCGGGUUUUGAGUUU